rnacentral:piRNA from 1 species
UCAGCAGCAAAGCCCCCAUCCCCUGAGA